rnacentral:rRNA from 1 species
GAUGAACGCUAGCGGGAGGCCUAACACAUGCAAGCCGAGCGGUAUUUGUUCUUCGGAACAGAGAGAGCGGCGCACGGGUGCGGAACACGUGUGCAACCUGCCUUUAUUUGGGUGUUAGCCUUUCGAAAGGAAGAUGAAUACCCCAUAAUAUAUUGAGUGGCAUCACUUGAUAGUGAAAACUCCUGUGGAUAGAGAUGGGUACGCGCAAGAUUAGAUAAUUGGUGAGUUAACGGCUCACCAAGUCAAUGAUCUUUAGGGGGCCUGAGAGGGUGAUCCCCCACACUGGUACUGAGACACGGACCAGACUGCUACGGGCGGCAGCAGUGAGGAAUAUUGGACAAUGGGUUAGCGCCUGAUCCAGCCAUCCCGCGUGAAGGACGACGGCGCUAUGGGUUGUAACCUUCUUUUGUAUAGGGAUAAACCUACUCUCGUGAGAGUAGCUGAAGGUACUAUACGAAUAAGCACCGGCUAACUACGUG